GACUUAAGCAUAUCACUAAGCGGAGGAAAAGAAACUAACUAGGAUUCCCCCAGUAACUGCGAGUGAAGAGGGAAGAGCUCAUCAUGGGAAUCUGGCAGUGUUGCACUGUCCGAGUUGUAGAUGAGGAGUAGUCCGUCUGGACUGCAUGGCGUCCAAGUACAAUAGGCCGUCAGUGGGACAUCAUAGAGGGUGACAAUCCCGUCCUUGAUGCCAAUGUGCAAGUCCGUUACGAUGGCUAUCUCAGAGAGUCGAGCAGUUUGGGAUUUGCUGCUUAAACAUGGGAGGUAGAUUCCUUCUAAAGCUAAAUACAGGCGAGAGACCGAUAGAGAACAAGUACCGCAAGGGAAAGAUGAAAUAGAACUCUGUGAAGGGAGUCAAAAGGCGUGAAAUUGUUGCGAGAGAAGCGAUUCAAGUCAGCGUAGCUAGGCCCAUCAAGCGUCUUCGCUUUGGACUAGCUUUGCCAGCGGUCUUGUCCUUAGAGACUUGACUUUGUAUAUAUAUGUGUCCAGCCUGGUAUGCACAGGUAGCCCCUCUGGGGGCCAGUGGCACAGCUGGUGGAAUGGCUUGCAAUCGACCCGUCUUGAAACACGGACCAAGGAGUCUAACAUGUAUGCGAGUAUAAGGGUGGCAAACCCGUAUGCGCAAUGAAAGUGAUUUUCGGUGAUUGAGAAUGGCCUGAUGACCAGACAAGCAAUACAUGUCCCUCGGACGGCCAUUGCCCAAGUUCCGUGGUAGAUCCCAUGAACAUGGAGUUGGAGCAUACAUGCUAGGACCCGAAAGAUGGUGAACUAUGCCUGGACAAAGCGAAGCCAAAGGAAACUCUGGUGGAGGCUUGUAGCGAUUCUGACGUGCAAAUCGAUCGUCUGAUCUGGGUAUAGGGGCGAAAGACUAAUCGAACC
rnacentral:rRNA from 1 species